UCGGAUGUGGUGCACGGUGCACGUCGGCUCUUGAUAUAUGCAAUGCGACUAGACCGGAUCGACGAACGGGGUUCGACUCCCCGCAUCCGAA